UACGGAGGGUGCAAGCGUUGUCCGGAUUUAUUGGGUUUAAAGGGUGCGUAGGCGGCCCUCUAAGUCAGUGGUGAAAUACCUGCAGCUUAACUGUAGCAUUGCCAUUGAUACUGGAGGGCUUGAGUACAGAUGAGGUAGGCGGGAAUUUAGUGGAUGUAGCGGUGAAAUGACAUAGAUACCAUAAAGAACACCUAUUGCGAAGGC
rnacentral:rRNA from 1 species